rnacentral:rRNA from 1 species
GAUGAACGCUGGCGGCGUGCCUAAUACAUGCGAGUCGAGCGAACGGACGAGAAGCUUGCUUUUCUGAUGUUAGCGGCGGACGGGUGAGUAACACGUGGAUAACCUACCUAUAAGACUGGGAUAACUUCGGGAAACCGGAGCUAAUACCGGAUAAUAUUUUGAACCGCAUGGUUCAAAAGUGAAAGACGGUCUUGCUGUCACUUAUAGAUGGAUCCGCGCUGCAUUAGCUAGUUGGUAAGGUAACGGCUUACCAAGGCAACGAUGCAUAGCCGACCUGAGAGGGUGAUCGUCCACACUGGAACUGAGACACGGUCCAGACUCCUACGGGAGGCAGCAGUAGGGAAUCUUCCGCAAUGGGCGAAAGCCUGACGGAGCAACGCCGCGUGAGUGAUGAAGGUCUUCGGAUCGUAAAACUCUGUUAUUAGGGAAGAACAUAUGUGUAAGUAACUGUGCACAUCUUGACGGUACCUAAUCAGAAAGCCACGGCUAACUACGUG